AUCUUGCUUAUUUGCAAGGACAUCUGUUCACAUCUUACCGGGCAGCAUUAGAUCCUUUCUGAUAACUCUAAUACUGUCAGGUAAAGAUGUCGUCCGUGUCCUUAACCAUCGGAAAGAAGGA
rnacentral:precursor_RNA from 15 species